AGGUGAGGAAACAAUUCUUUAGGAAGGUGACGAACUCCAUCCAAACGUAUAUCUCUAACAAGCCAGGUGCGUCAAUUUGAAUACAGAUGCCAGGGAACAUCAAGGCUGAAGACUGAAGUCCUUUCCUACUGACCCACCUUAGCUCACUCUGGAGAAACAAAGGGCGAAUGACAUACCCUUUAACCUGAAAGUGGUCAUUUCAGAGUCAAUACCCUACAGAGGUGUCUACAAAAAUCAGAUAAAGAAACUCACAUACGUGGGAAUUCACAGCACCAGGAUUCAAACCGAGGCAAUUUGGAACCGGAAGACACACUUAACCAUUAUACCAUUGCGUUUAAACAAAUACUUGCUACAUCUAAAUAAAUUUUAU